UGAUAUUAGCAAAAAUUGAAUAUAUGAGGUUCUUUGAUAUGCUGAAUCUAAACAUGUAUUUAGAUUUUUGAUUUUUGGCCCAGUUUUCAAGUUGGUCCAAAUUGGGGUCCAAAAUUAAACUUUGUUUGAUUUCAACAAAAAUUGAAUAUAUGGGGUUCUUUGAUAUGCUGAAUCUAACCAUGUAUUUAGAUUUUUUAUUUGUGGACCCCGUUAUCAAAUUGGUUCAUAUUGAGGUCAAAAGGGUCCAAAAUUAAACUUUGUUUGAUUUCAUCUAAAAUUGAAUUAUUGGGGUUCUUUGAUAUUCCAAAUCUAACCGUGUAUUUAGAUUUUUAAUUUUGGGUCCUGUUUUUUGAAUUGGUCUACAUUAAGGUCCAAAGGGUCCAAAAUUAAACUUAGUUUGAUUUUAACAAAAAUUGAAUUCUUGGGGUUCUUUGAUAUGCUGAAUCUAAACAUGUGUUUAGAUUUUUGAUUAUGGGCCCAGUUUUCAAGUUGGUCAAAGAUAGGGUCCAGUAUUUAAACUUUGUUUGAUUUCAACAAAAAUUGAAUAUAUGGGGUUCUUUGAUAUGCUGAAUCUAAACAUGUAUUUAGAUUUUUGAUUAUGGGCCCAGUUUUCAAGUUGGUCCAAAUUGGGGUCCAAAAUUAAACUUUGUUUGAUUUCAACAAAAAUUGAAUAUAUGUGGUUCUUUGAUAUGCUGAAUCUAACCAUGUAUUUAGAUUUUUUAUUUGUGGGCCCCGCUAUCAAAUUGGUUCAUAUUGAGGUCAAAAGGGUCCAAAAUUAAACUUUGUUUGAUUUCAUCAAAAAUUGAAUUAUUGGGGUUCUUUGAUAUGCCAAAUCUAACCGUGUUUUUAGAUUUUUAAUUUGGGUCCCGUUUUUUAAAUUGGUCUUCAUUGAGGUCCAAAGGGUCCAAAAUUUAACUUUGUUUGAUUUUAGCAAAAAUUGAAUAUAUGAGGUUCUUUGAUAUGCUGAAUCUAAACAUGUAUUUAGAUUUUUGAUUUUUGGCCCAGUUUUCAAGUUGGUCCAAAUUGGGGUCCAAAAUUAAACUUUGUUUGAUUUCAACAAAAAUUGAAUAUAUGGGGUUCUUUGAUAUGCUGAAUCUAACCAUGUAUUUAGAUUUUUUAUUUGUGGACCCCGUUAUCAAAUUGGUUCAUAUUGAGGUCAAAAGGGUCCAAAAUUAAACUUUGUUUGAUUUCAUCUAAAAUUGAAUUAUUGGGGUUCUUUGAUAUUCCAAAUCUAACCGUGUAUUUAGAUUUUUAAUUUUGGGUCCUGUUUUUUGAAUUGGUCUACAUUAAGGUCCAAAGGGUCCAAAAUUAAACUUAGUUUGAUUUUAACAAAAAUUGAAUUCUUGGGGUUCUUUGAUAUGCUGAAUCUAAACAUGUGUUUAGAUUUUUGAUUAUGGACCCAGUUUUCAAGUUGGUCAAAGAUAGGGUCCAGUAUUUAAACUUUGUUUGAUUUCAACAAAAAUUGAAUAUAUGGGGUUCUUUGAUAUGCUGAAUCUAAACAUGUAUUUAGAUUUUUGAUUAUGGGCCCAGUUUUCAAGUUGGUCCAAAUUGGGGUCCAAAAUUAAACUUUGUUUGAUUUCAACAAAAAUUGAAUAUAUGUGGUUCUUUGAUAUGCUGAAUCUAACCAUGUAUUUAGAUUUUUUAUUUGUGGGCCCCGCUAUCAAAUUGGUUCAUAUUGAGGUCAAAAGGGUCCAAAAUUAAACUUUGUUUGAUUUCAUCAAAAAUUGAAUUAUUGGGGUUCUUUGAUAUGCCAAAUCUAACCGUGUUUUUAGAUUUUUAAUUUGGGUCCCGUUUUUUAAAUUGGUCUUCAUUGAGGUCCAAAGGGUCCAAAAUUAAACUUAGUUUGAUUUUAACAAAAAUUGAAUUCUUGGGGUUCUUUGAUAUGCUGAAUCUAAACAUGUGUUUAGAAUUUUGAUUAUGGGCCCAGUUUUCAAGUUGGUCCAAGUUGGGGUCCAAAAUUAAACUUUUUUUGAUUUCAACAAAAAUUGAAUAUAUUGGGUUCUUUGAUAUGCUGAAUCUAACCAUGAAUUUAGAUUUUUUAUUUGUGGGCCCCGCUAUCAAAUUGGUUCAUAUUGAGGUCAAAAGGGUCCAAAAUUAAACUUUGUUUGAUUUCAUCAAAAAUUGAAUUAUUGGGGUUCUUUGAUAUUCCAAAUCUAAUCGUGUAUUUAGAUUUUUAAUAUUAAGUCCCGUUUUUUAAAUUGGUCUACAUUAAGGUCCAAAGGGUCCAAAAUUAAACUUAGUUUGAUUUUAGCAAAAAUUGAAUUCUUGGGGUUCUUUGAUAUGCUGAAUCUAAACAUGUGUUUAGAUUUUUAAUUAUGGGCCCAGUUUUCAAGUUGGUCCAAGUUGGGGUCCAAAAUUAAACUUUGUUUGAUUUUAACAAAAAUUGAAUAUAUGGGGUUCUUUGAUAUGCUGAAUCUAACCAUGUAUUUUGAUUUUAGACAUUGGACCAUAAUAGGUAAAUUAAAAAAAUUCAAGUUCUUAGACCACAUUCUUUCUGUGUCAGAAACCUAUGCUGUGUCAAAUAUUUAAUAACAAUCCAAAUUCAGAGCUGUAUCAAGCUUGAAUGUUGUGUCCAUACUUGCCCCAACUGUUCAGGGUUCGACCUCUGCGGUCGUAUCAAGCUGCGCCCCAGCGAAGCAUUUUAUUGAUUAUGGGCCCAGUUUUCAAGUUGGUCCAAAUUGGGGUCCAAAAUUAAACUUUGUUUGAUUUCAACAAAAAUUGAAUAUAUGGGGUUCUUUGAUAUGCUGAAUCUAACCAUGUAUUUAGAUUUUUGAUUUUUGGGCCUCGUUAUCAACUUUGUCCACAUUGAGGUCAAAAGGGUCCAAAAUUAAACUUUGUUUGAUUUCAUCAAAAAUUGAAUUAUUGGGGUUCUUUGAUAUGCCAAAUCUAACCGUGUUUUUAGAUUUUUAAUUUGGGUCCCGUUUUUUUAAUUGGUCUUCAUUGAGGUCCAAAGGGUCCAAAAUUAAACUUAGUUUGAUUUUAACAAAAAUUGAAUUCUUGGGGUUCUUUGAUAUGCUGAAUCUAAACAUGUGUUUAGAUUUUUGAUUAUUGGCCCAGUUUUCAAGUUGGUCCAAGUUGGGGUCCAAAAUAAAACUUUUUUUGAUUUCAACAAAAAUUGAAUAUAUGGGGUUCUUUGAUAUGCUGAAUCUAACCAUGAAUUUAGAUUUUUUAUUUGUGGGCCACGCUAUCAAAUUGGUUCAUAUUGAGGUCAAAAGGGUCCAAAAUUUAACUUUGUUUGAUUUCAUCAAAAAUUGAAUUAUUGGGGUUCUUUGAUAUUCCAAAUCUAACCCUGUAUUUAGAUUUUUAAUUUUAAGUCCCGUUUUUUAAAUUGGUCUACAUUAAGGUCCAAAGGGUCCAAAAUUAAACUUAGUUAGAUUUUAGCAAAAAUUGAAUUCUUGGGGUUCUUUGAUAUGCUGAAUCUAAACAUGUGUUUAGAUUUUUGAUUAUGGGCCCAGUUUUCAAGUUUGUCCAAGUUGGGGUCCAAAAUUAAACUUUGUUUGAUUUUAACAAAAAUUGAAUAUAUGGGGUUCUUUGAUAUGCUGAAUCUAACCAUGUAUUUUGAUUUUGGACAUUGGACCAUAAUAGGUAAAUUAAAAAAAUUCAAGUUCGUAGACCACAUUCUUUCUGUGUCAGAAACCUAUGCUGUGUCAAAUAUUUAAUAACAAUCCAAAUUCAGAGCUGUAUCAAGCUUGAAUGUUGUGUCCAUACUUGCCCCAACUGUUCAGGGUUCGACCUCUGCGGUCGUAUCAAGCUGCGCCCCAGCGAAGCAUUUUAUUUUUAU